CAGCUCAUAUAAGGUAAAAGAAAAAGGUUUUCCAGAUUCUGAGCAGCGUGGAAGGAGUUUUCGCCGAGGACCCCCAUGCCAGCUACUUAAAAAACCCAGCCUGGCAGCUCCGGGGCCCCAGUGGCAGGCUAUAUUUUGAAGAGAUGAGGUGACAGCCCCCCCUCCACGCCCCCAUGGGGCCUAGUGCACAACAGGUGUGAGUGAAUACUUCUGCUCCCCAUGCAAUGCAGGCUUAGCCACUGGGGCUGCAGAGACCAAGAGGCCAUGCAGAUGACAGCUUUGAGGAAGCCGCUUCUGGAGGCUGCCUGGAGGGGCAACCAAACAGCCACAUUAUCAGGCACAGCCCCUGUAUGACUGACAAAAGGCAGAUGUAGCUUGCCAGGCCGACUUGACAAGGUGAUUACCCAUUACACCACCAGCACUGGGCAAAGCGCAUGCUGCCCACUGCCAGCCACAUUCAUGCUCCUUGGACAGACACACACAUGUACACACAUACACUUAGAGGCAAACAACAAGCACCUCUUCAUAUGAACCAGUGGAAACACACACACACCCCCCCAAUUACUAGCCUGUGGAUUUGCUCUUUAGAUCAUGAGACUACUGGCCUCACGGGAAGGCAAAGUCUGUUGUUUGCACACUUAUAGCCCAUUCUUUACUGUGUGUGCCCAGGUCCGGUCACAAGUACUUAUGACAGCUUAGCCCAAAGCUGAAUCUGUCUGCUCCCCUUGGGUCUGAGCUCACAGCUCAAGUCUGCAAUGAAGCCCUGACCGGCCUUUCCCAAAUGCUUAAAAGGACUCAUCCAGCUCUGGGUCCUGGGGCUUUUGUUCUGCUCAAGCUAUCUAGUCCCUGCAUGAUGCAAUAAACCAACAUGGAUAGGCACAGUGGUGUGAAGCAGGGCAUUGCUGUAUGCCAGGGAGAUCUGUGGUGUGAUAUCAUCCAGCAUAGAGAGGUGGCUGGAAGGGCAUUUUCCUCCCCAACCCAGAUACUUGCAGUCUGGUUAUACACUAACAGAGAUUGUGCAGAGGCUCUGUGUGUGGGCAGGUGAAUGAGGAUGUGGUGCUGACACACUCAGGUAAGCACGCAAAGGUUAUGAAUAUUUAUUCACUGCCUAACAGGAAGAUUGGCUUCCUCCUAGGCAGAGCAGAGCGGUUUCAGCAGGAGGCCUGUUGAUGUUUGCUUAGGUGUUACCAUCGCGCAUUGCCUGAAGCUCCGUCCUUCCAAACCAGCCUCUGCCCUCCCCACUCAGCACCGGGCGCUGCUCCCUGUCUUGCAGAUCCCGUGUGCUGUUUGGCCGCAUUGUUAUAGUAUAGUUUACUCUAGCGAGCUGACGCAUUUCCUGACGGCUGUUGCUCAUGUUCUGAGUAAAUUUGUUUCCCUACUGCACAGCAGAUGGGGGCUGCAUCCCCCACCCCAGCACUGACUAGGCUUGUAUCAUAGCAUAUCAUAGCAUAUGGUGAAGGUUUGCUGGGAGUCUCAGAUGGUCUGAGUCUAAAGUCUGGCCUGGAAGAGGUGCAUAUGAUAGCAGAGCUGGGACCUGAUGGAGUACCUGGGGGUAGGAGACCCAGGGGAUCCCUCUGCAUCAGCUGUUCUCCCUGCCUCCCAAGGGAAAGAGGACUGUGGCAUGAACAAUUGGAAGCCUAGCUGCAUAGAUGUCAGAGAUACCAGAGCCUUGGUAGAGUCUCCUCCUUGAUUUCCUCUUGCUCCUCUCCGGUAGGAAUUGCUUAGAUCACAGCAGUUGUUCUGCCUGUCUCUGACUCAUUGCAGCUCCUUUCCAAACUUGGCCUCAGCAUGCUGCUUGUUUGCCUAGCUGUUUCUGGGCUUGGAGAUAACGUUGGAAAUGGUUCGAAAAGCCUCCUCUUUUGAGUGACUUGUUCAAGCCAUGCCAAGGCUGAGGCUGAAGGAGCUGAUGUAGGUAAGUCAGUCUGGUCUGCUCUGCCUGGUGACUUCAGAGACACCAGAGGCAAAGUCUGUGAUGUUGCCAGCUAGGAUGGGGUUAAGGUGUUGGGAAAGGUGAGUUUCGCUAGUUGUGUGAGGAUCUCCAAUGUUCAAAAUGGUGGUUGCUUUCAAUGCAGGGCUCAUCCAUGCUUGCUCUGUUGACUGCUGUGGGCUCUGUUGAAUGCUGCCUACUGAUUGAUGGUGAAGGCUGGGAAAACCUGUUUGUAGGGUGUCCUUCCAACUUUGCACUAGCCUGGGUGUGAUUUUGCUUUUCUUCCUUCCCCUGAAAGACACAGCAGCAUGGGUUGGUUGGAAGCAUGGGGUGAGCUGCAGAACUCAACCACUGUUACACCCUGGCUUGCAUUUUGCCUGUGGAGGUAUGUUCCUUCCCUGUGGAUUUGAAGCUGGGAAGCAACUGUUGUGUAUGGAGCAUAGGGGAGAGGGAGGCUUCCAGGGUGCCGGAUGGAAGGGACGCCAGCCCAGAAAGCUGCCAUCUGCUUCUUGUCAGGCUGUUCUGAGUGCCUGUUCCUAGCUGCCGGCUGGCGGAGGUGGCUGGAUCCCAGCGUGAGGAUGUUGUAAUGAUGGAUGUUCUGUUUACCCUGCACAGGAUUGCACAGGAUGUUAGUGCUUGUCUGCAAAAACUUUGCUGGAUUUGGUCUCCCUUCCCCCCCCCCCCCCCCUUGUUCACUUCCCCUCCUCCCUCUUCCCCACUAUGUGCUCACUGUUGCUACCAUCUAUGGCCUUGCUCUACACAUCAAUGUACCCUGGGCUGGUCCUGCCCUCAAGUGCACAAGUUUUGGAUGGCAUGUCCUCUCAGGGAGCCUGGGGAUAAAGUUAGAACUGGGGCCCCAAGCUGCAUUCCCAUGGGUGACAGAGGUGCUGCUGUUUCCUUCAGGGAGAGGAUGAGAGAGGCUGUUUUAACUUCCCUUAACUCUUUGUGUGCCUGAGCCUUUCCCCACUUGCCUGCAUGGUCAGGGCUGCAUUGCAUUUGCUCUCACAGCAUUGGGUGUCUCCCAAUGCUCUAACCUGUCAAGAUGAGACCCCAAGGCCUGCUCCCUAUGUCUGCGCCUUCAGCCAUCUCACUGCAAGCCCUGGUAGGAUGGCUGCAGGAUCCAGAGCAGACUGGCUUGUGUGGGUCACCAGGGUUGGCCUGCUAGCUAGCACCUUCCUUGAGCUCUCAGCAUCUCACUACUUCCCAGGUGCCAGCCCCGGCCACUCCCCUUGCUCCAAAUCCAGGAGUCCUACCAGUCCUGUCCGUCUCCCCUGCUGCUCAUUUUUAGUAGGGCUGAUCCCUCCCCGGACCUCGGCAGGCUCAGGUUGGGGAGUGGGGAGGCCCAGCUUGGUGUCUCAGUCUGUAACCUGCAUAAACCUCGCUGCACCCUGUGCUUUGACAAAUGUCAUACAGAGCCUUAAUCUGGGGAUCAGCUGUCCCCACAAACACACUACAGCCCUCUAGGCCGAGCUCGGGGGCCUGCCCUGUUCUUUGUCUGCCUCAGAGGGACUGAUUGAUGGGCUUCUUUCCAGUGGAAACCACAACACUGCUCUCCACAGCCCUGUCCUCCCCACGCCGGGGGCCACCCAGCCAUCUGCAGGCUUGUGCCAGGCAGGAGGCAGCCCAGGGGAGCUGCCACACCAGCUCAGUUUCAGAGAGAUGAGUUCCUGCCAUAAAAGGGAAGGAAGGAGCCCAGAAGGACGUCACCCAGGCCUGUUUGCUCUCUCCCCUCUCCUCCACCUCCCAUGACAUCAUCCUUAUUUAUCUAUCUAGCCAUCCAUCAAUCAUGUGUUCUCAUAUCGCUAUGGUAUCUGGGUCCCACGGUUCCCUGGGAUGAAGCCUGUGGUGGUUAUUUUUUAACUAGAAGCCAGUAAUGAUUUUCCUUGGAGCUCCAAAGGCUAAGGGGUGAAGUGUGGCACUAGUUAUAGCUCAUUUAUAUCUUGUCCUACCAGCUGUGCCAACCGCAGAGAUCCCUCCACAGGGAAGUGGACUCAGGCCCCUCUCCAAGGCCACUGCAAGGUCAGGACGAUCAGAUAGCCUGGGCUUGGAGAGGGAACAACUGGGGUAGACACAUGACUCUGAGUGGUAACCUUCAAAUGACACCUUGGGUCACUAGAGUCCAUCUCCAGAGCUGUCAUCCAUCUGGAUGCCCCAGGUUCACACUGCAAGAAGUGAUGGCAAAGCUCUGUCUGCCUCAUCUCCUCAUGUAAAACCAUGGUGAGACCUUGGCUCUUGUGAGCUCUGAAAGUAAAGCACCAAGCCCAGCUGUCUGCCAAAGCACAUCUGCAGGUGUAACCAUGCAGCACUGACUAAGCUUCCCCCCCACUGCCCACACUGGGAUGAGGCUGGGGAGAGGCUGGAGGGGGGAACAUUCCUAGACAAAGCAGCUUGUUCCCUGCUCAUCACUGCUCAGGAGAGCCUGGUGUAGCUCUGUCCUCCGACAUAACCCCUUUGCUUUCCACUUCUGAAAGGAGUUGCCUCUGCUGUCAGUGUUGUCAAGAGGGGGCUGGGACAUCCUAUUCUGUCUGUAAUCUAGCUAGGUGCAUGUGCAUACACAUACAUGCACAUGUGCACACACACACAUAUGCACUGAGAUGUGAGCACACACACACAUACAUGUACAUGCACAUGCGCGCACACACAGCUGACAAGCACAUGGUGGAAUGGUCUCAGCCAUGCUCCUUGGGAGCCAGAAGUCCCCUGCAGUCUGAGCUUUUUGCCCCUGUGUCCAGCCAGUUCCCCUGCCUGGUGUUUCUUCUUCCCUGCAUACCCUCUGCCUGCGCACCAGAUGGAUACAGACAGAGCUCUUCAAUGUCUCCCAGCCCAAGGUGCAGUGCUGCAUCUCUGGUCAGUUGUGAGUCUGAGAUGAAGCACUGUAGCUCGGGAAGGGAGGAACUGUGCAGCUGAGAGACGUGUCAGCCCAGCAGGCCUGCGGGCUCCCUGGCCAUGGGACCUCCUGCUCCAGGAAGAAGCUUGACCUGACCAGCAAUAAGGAGGACGAGGCACUAGUUGGCUCAGACAUGAAGAGCAGGAUCAGGUGAGCUGGGGCCACACAAGACUCACAAGCUCACUAGCACCAAGCCCAGUCCUUACGCAGGACUCAGGAUGGUACUGUGGUUGCUACAGGACAGGGCUGAGGAAGGAUUUUCAUGGAUAUGAACAUCUAGGAGGCAUCCCUUCAGGUUGCCGUUGCCUUCUCUGCUGGGUCUCUGCACCAGUUCUCCUGCUGAAUCUGAGGGCCAGGUUUCAAGGAGCCGUACUCACGGAGGUGUCUGUGCAAGGCAAAACUCAAGGCCUGUGGCUGGAGUGGAACAUAUCUAGGGGCUGAUGGCACAGGCCCAAAGCUCCCUCUGGGCACAGGCCAUACAGAAAUGGAUUCAGCCCACCCAGGGGAAGGGCGAGGGGGGUAGGAACAGAUGAUCUGGUUAGAGAAUGAUGGGAGCAGGCAGGCUGAGUGGGAUAGGCACUGUACACCCCUUCAGGAGGCACUUUGCUGGGGUAAGGUGCCCAAAGCACUGCACUCUGCCUCUGGGAACGGCAUCCCAUGUUGACAACAGGUGAAGCUGUGCUUGGCUAAUGAAGGCUCAAAGAUAGGGAGGAAGGUGGAAGCAGAAGGUCCUCUCCUUGCUGUGUCCUCAGGGUCCAGUUUUCCCAGGAAUCCCUUGGGCACUGUGUUGGGGAUUCCUGGAAAUACUGUUCUUGGGGCCGUGGCUCAGCAGCUGGAAAAGGCCUGCUCCUUGGACCAUCAGGGGAAUUGGAGAGCAAGGUCCAGAAUCACUUCAAGGAUUAGCUGGGCUGAGUGGGAUGAAGGCUGGAAUACCAGAGCCCCCUGCCCUGACAGUUCCCCUGUCACCCCUUGGACUGAGGGAGGGCAGGCGGAGCCCAUGUCCUAUACACCACAGCUCCUCCAGACCAAAGGGACCUCUGCACCCAACUGAGUACAACAGCUUCUGCAUUCGCAGCUCACUGCAGUACCACGCACUCUGGGAGGUCACAGGCAGGGCCAGACCGCUCCUUUGGUACUGGCUCACCACUUCUUCCAUACAAUGCAUUGCCCUCCCCGAGGGGCUGAGUGAUGGGUGGGUGGUGACAUCCGUCUUGCUGCCCUGUGUGUUACUUGGCCACAGCUGUAUAAAUAAAGACCUGGGCUCUUGA